GACAGAGUAGGAAAUAAAGCGUUAAGUGUCUGAGGGAUGGGAUGUUGCCCUUGGGACGAAGAAUUAUUUUAUAAUUCGCGGUUUUAUUUUCGCAUUCGCUGCA
rfam:Enterococcus dispar ATCC 51266 genomic scaffold acpMG-supercont1.1, whole genome shotgun sequence.